rnacentral:rRNA from 1 species
GACGUAGGGGGCCAGCGUUGUUCGGAAUUACUGGGUGUAAAGGGUUCGUAGGCGGUGCGGCAAGUUGGGAGUGAAAUCUCUGGGCUUAACCCAGAGGCUGCUUCCAAAACUGCUGUGCUUGAGUGUGGGAGAGGCGCGUGGAAUUGCAGGUGUAGCGGUGAAAUUCGUAGAUAUUCGGAAGAACACCAGUGGCGAAGGCGGGUCUCUGGACAGUUCCUGACGCUGAGGCACGAAGGCCAGGGGAGCAAACGGG